UACGUAGGCAGCGAGCGUUGUUCGGAAUUACUGGGCGUAAAGAGUGUGUAGGCGGUGUUCCCAGUCUGUUGUGAAAUCUCCCGGCUUAACUGGGAGGGUGCAGCGGAAACUAGAAUGCUAGAGGGUGGGAGAGGUAAGCGGAAUUCCUGGUGUAGCGGUGAAAUGCGCAGAUAUCGGGAGGAACACCAGUAGCGAAGGCGGCACUCUGGGCCGGUACUGACGCUGAGGAGCGAAAGCGUGGGGAGCGAACAGG
rnacentral:rRNA from 1 species